rnacentral:rRNA from 1 species
UUCGAAAGGAACGCUAAUACCGCAUACGUCCUACGGGAGAAAGCAGGGGACCUUCGGGCCUUGCGCUAUCAGAUGAGCCUAGGUCGGAUUAGCUAGUUGGUGAGGUAAUGGCUCACCAAGGCGACGAUCCGUAACUGGUCUGAGAGGAUGAUCAGUCACACUGGAACUGAGACACGGUCCAGACUCCUACGGGAGGCAGCAGUGGGGAAUAUUGGACAAUGGGCGAAAGCCUGAUCCAGCCAUGCCGCGUGUGUGAAGAAGGUCUUCGGAUUGUAAAGCACUUUAAGUUGGGAGGAAGGGUUGCUGAUUAAUACUCUGCAAUUUUGACGUUACCGACAGAAUAAGCACCGGCUAACUCUGUGCCAGCAGCCGCGGUAAUACAGAGGGUGCAAGCGUUAAUCGGAAUUACUGGGCGUAAAGCGCGCGUAGGUGGUUUGUUAAGUUGGAUGUGAAAGCCCCGGGCUCAACCUGGGAACUGCAUCCAAAACUGGCAAGCUAGAGUAGGGCAGAGGGUGGUGGAAUUUCCUGUGUAGCGGUGAAAUGCGUAGAUAUAGGAAGGAACACCAGUGGCGAA